GAUGAAGAACGUAGCGAAAUGCGAUAAGUAAUGCGAAUUGCAGAAUUCAGUGAAUCAUCGAAUCUUUGAACGCACAUUGCGCCCGCCAGUACUCUGGCGGGCAUGCCUGUCUGAGCGUCAUCUCAACCCUCGCCCCCGGCUUCUGUCGGGGACGGUGUUGGGGAUCGGCCUCCCGUCUUCCGGGUGGCCGGCCCCUAAAUUGAGUGGCGACCACGCCGUAACCUCCUCUGCGUAGUAGUUAAACACUCGCGGGCGGAGAGCGGUGCGGCCUGCCGUAAAACCCCCAACUCUUCUAAGGUUGACCUCAGAUCAGGUAGGAAUACCCGCUGAACUUAAGCAUAUCAAUAAGCGGAGGA
rnacentral:misc_RNA from 1 species